UGGGGAAUUUUGGACAAUGGACGCAAGUCUGAUCCAGCCAUGCCGCGUGCGGGAAGAAGGCCUUCGGGUUGUAAACCGCUUUUGUCAGGGAAGAAACGAGUUUCUCUAAUACAGAGACUUAAUGACGGUACCUGAAGAAUAGGCACCGGCUAACUACGUGCCAGCAGCCGCGGUAAUACGUAGGGUGCGAGCGUUAAUCGGAAUUACUGGGCGUAAAGCGUGCGCAGGCGGUUAUAUAAGACAGAUGUGAAAUCCCCGGGCUCAACCUGGGAACUGCAUUUGUGACUGUAUAGCUAGAGUACGGCAGAGGGGGAUGGAAUUCCGCGUGUAGCAGUGAAAUGCGUAGAUAUGCGGAGGAACACCGAUGGCGAAGGCAAUCCCCUGGACCUGUACUGACGCUCAUGCACGAAAGCGUGGGGAGCAAACA
rnacentral:rRNA from 1 species